GUGCUCGCUUCGGCAGCACAUAUACUAAAAUUGGAACGAUACAGAGAAGAUUAGCAUGGCCCCUGCACAAAGGAAGAGAAAGAACAAAAAGACAAAGGGAGGGCUGGA